AACGAACGCUGGCGGCAUGCCUAACACAUGCAAGUCGAACGAGACCUUCGGGUCUAGUGGCGCACGGGUGCGUAACGCGUGGGAAUCUGCCCUUGGGUUCGGAAUAACAGCGAGAAAUUGCUGCUAAUACCGGAUGAUGACGUAAGUCCAAAGAUUUAUCGCCCAAAGGAUGAGCCCGCGUAGGAUUAGCUAGUUGGUGAGGUAAAGGCUCACCAAGGCGACGAUCCUUAGCUGGUCUGAGAGGAUGAUCAGCCACACUGGGACUGAGACACGGCCCAGACUCCUACGGGAGGCAGCAGUGGGGAAUAUUGCACAAUGGAGGAAACUCUGAUGCAGCGACGCCGCGUGAGUGAUGAAGGACUUCGGUUCGUAAAGCUCUGUUGCAAGGGAAGUAACACAAAUGAAUGUACCUUGUGAGGAAGGGUACGGCGUAACUUCGUGCCAGCAGCCGCGGUAAU
rnacentral:rRNA from 1 species